UAGCUCCUGUGUCGGCAAAGCAUCUGCCUGCAACGCGGGAGACCUGGGUUCAAUUCUUGGGAACCCAGUAGAGGCGCGAGUGGACACCCAGCUCGACACCCAGUGUGGUCACUCACCAAGCCCUGGAUCCCAGCGUGAGGCCGAGGUGGGGGCCUCUCCCAAAGAGGUGCCUUUCCCUAACUCACACAAGGCGUCCCGUGGGCCGGCACUAGUGCUGGACGCAGACCCCUCGGCCUUUAGCCUCUCCCCUCUUGGUGCAGCCCUGGGUCCAUCUCUCCAAGCAGGGUUGGGAGCCUUCCCUCCUCCACGUGUCCUCAGGGAGCCCUGUGCAUGCCAGGAACCCUCCCCCUGGCCCAGACUGCUGGCUUUCCGCUAUCCC
ensembl:lncRNA